ACUUUUUGGUCUGAAGGAGCACCCAUUAAUGGGGCAAACAGAAUAUUGAUAACCAAGUUGUAGAGUGGUGGGUGAAAGUUAUGAGCUUCCACUUCAAGCCAUUGUUCCACUAGACCCUUUUCUUCUAUUGUCUUUCCCAACAACUCAGUUCCUUGCUCUUUAUACUUUUCUGCAAGGUAUCUGAUUAUUGCACGAGACUCUGCAAAAUUAGUUUAAAAUCAGUGUAUUAGAAGGAACACAGAGUAUCCUACAUUCGCAAAAUGAAUAUGGGAAAGUAAGCAUUCAGCGUUUUAGACUAUCCUACAUUGGAAAUUUCACACAGCAAAAACUAAGUCUUAUUACUACCCAAUUUAGGUUUUCUGGAAGUUACAUGCAUGAUGCAUCAAGGAUCAAACCAUAGCAUAUAUUUAUCAGAAACAACUAAAUCACCAAUUUCAUGGAGUAACGGAACUACAUCCCCUUAUGCCUCCUUUUAAAACAAAGGAAUAGCAAUGGGGGUGCAGAGCAAGUAUGAACAAUCCUAACCCACAACUCAAACGACAUUCUUCAUAAAUAGUUUGAACUACUCACAUAAAUAAGGGACACACAAGGUGAAGAACAUCACUAGAAAGAUCAAAAGUUGAAAAGCCACAUUCCUUAACCAUAGGCACAAGAAAAAAAAAUGCAGAAAACAACAAAGGGGCUAUGUGGUUUACCAUAGAGAGUAUAAUCACCAUCUUGAAUAACAGGAACUGAUCCGAAUGGCUGCAGAAUUAUUAGGCACAGGUAGAAUUAAACAUGAAAAAAAAAUAUUACAAAAAUCCUCAAACCAAAUGAAGCUGCAGCUUAUGUAGAUCAAAAAUUAAGUAGCAACAGAAAAAUUGAACCUGCAACUUAAGGAACUCAGGUUCCUUAUGCUCUCCCUUGAAGAGAUCAACAUCCACUGUUUCAAACUCGAUUUCCUUCUCAAUCAGACACACAAGCACCCUUUUGGGGGAUGCAUAAGUUGGACCAUACACC
rnacentral:lncRNA from 1 species